CGCAACUUCCCCACCUCUCUCACUUCUCUGCCGAUCCUCCCUCCUCCUCUCUUCCAUUUUGCCUCAAACAUCUUCAUUUUCUUCACCAUAUUCUUCUUCUUUUAUUUAUUUCUUUUCACCAACACCACCACCCGCAUCACCAUCUCCACGGCCGAGCUUCUGAGUCGCCAUUGAGCCACCAUCCACCCAAGCUGAGCCCUCUUGGCCAUGAGCUCAACUUCAUCGAACCGCCACCGUUUGCGCCGCCAUUUGAGCCGCAAGUUUCAAGUUCUCGACGCCAUCACACUGCCGUCACCGGAAACCCGCGGAGAUUCUAGACAAUGCCGUGCCCGAUGGGGCAGGACCGCCAACUCAUGUGUUGGCCGUGGCCCAAGGAGUUGUAAUAAUCGGGACACGUGUAAAGGAUUGCGAUAUAUUGCGCUUGAUUAUGGGGUAAAACUGUUAGGCAUGGUAUGGGACGUACCAAAAUGGGUUUUACCUUAUAAUUAGGACCCGUGUGGAUGCUUGGUGCAUAAGAGUUAUGUGUUCUGAUUAUUGAUUAUGCUUGUUAUAUUUAAAAUGGCAUAUGUGACGUACUAAUAUGCAGGGGUGUGCCAAGGCAAGGUAAAAUUGUAUGCCGUUGCAUGUUUAGGCUGCCUUCAAGAUGAAUUUGCGUCAUAAUCGAGGUUUAGGCUGUUAACUCACUAAUUUAUCUCACCCCAUUGUUGUUAACCAUUUUCAGAGCCAUAGCGUGGAGAAUUGCUAGGUGAGGUUGUGGUGGGCGUGAGAUGCGACACCGUUUUGGCUAGCCCUGCCGUUAGUGAAAUUUAGGUUAACCCUAACCCUAAAGGUUUUAAGAGGAUCGAUAGGAAAUGGCCAUAGAAAGGCUUAUAAUUAUUAAACUUCCUAAGGAUAACAAUGGACAAAUAAAUAUGUCAUUUUCGGCAAUACAUGUUGUGUUUUACUA